GAUGAACGCUGGCGGCCUGCCUAAUACAUGCAAGUCGAGCGAACAGACGAGGAGCUUGCUCCUCUGACGUUAGCGGCGGACGGGUGAGUAACACGUGGAUAACCUACCUAUAAGACUGGGAUAACUUCGGGAAACCGGAGCUAAUACCGGAUAAUAUAUUGAACCGCAUGGUUCAAUAGUGAAAGACGGUUUUGCUGUCACUUAUAGAUGGAUCCGCGCCGCAUUAGCUAGUUGGUAAGGUAACGGCUUACCAAGGCAACGAUGCGUAGCCGACCUGAGAGGGUGAUCGGCCACACUGGAACUGAGACACGGUCCAGACUCCUACGGGAGGCAGCAGUAGGGAAUCUUCCGCAAUGGGCGAAAGCUUGACGGAGCAACGCCGCGUGAGUGAUGAAGGUCUUCGGAUCGUAAAACUCUGUUAUUAGGGAAGAACAAAUGUGUAAGUAACUAUGCACGUCUUGACGGUACCUAAUCAGAAAGCCACGGCUAACUACGUG
rnacentral:rRNA from 1 species